rnacentral:rRNA from 1 species
AACGAACGCUGGCGGCAUGCCUAACACAUGCAAGUCGAACGAGACCUUCGGGUCUAGUGGCGCACGGGUGCGUAACGCGUGGUAACCUGCCCUUAGGUUCGGAAUAACUCCCCGAAAGGGGUGCUAAUACCGGAUAAUGUCUUCGGACCAAAGAUUUAUCGCCUUUGGAUGGGCCCGCGUUGGAUUAGCUAGUUGGUAGGGUAAAAGCCUACCAAGGCGACGAUCCAUAGCUGGUCUGAGAGGAUGAUCAGCCACACUGGGACUGAGACACGGCCCAGACUCCUACGGGAAGCAGCAGUGGGGAAUAUUGGACAAUGGGCGAAAGCCUGAUCCAGCAAUGCCGCGUGAGUGAUGAAGGCCUUAGGGUUGUAAAGCUCUUUUACCCGGGAUGAUAAUGACAGUACCGGGAGAAUAAGCUCCGGCUAACUACGUG